rfam:Schistosoma mattheei strain Denwood, Zambia genome assembly, scaffold: SMTD_scaffold0009353
GCACUGCUGAGGAGUCCCAUAAUAGGACGAAACAGCAUUCCAGUGC